rnacentral:lncRNA from 1 species
GUUGUUUGGAAAAGCCAAUAUGCAAACUGCUCAGUCUGCGCCUGGCCCCCGCCCCACGAGGCCCCAUUAGCAGCCACUUUCCCAAAACAGCCCGCCCUGCUUUGGAAGGUUCCUUUCUAUUCAACCCGAGCAGGGCCCAGCAGCAGCCUGCUUGCCAGGCCCUGAGCUGGGAAAGACAAAGGGCCGCGAUUGAAUUUUCUCGGCGGCGCAGAAUCUGAAGAUGUUGUUUACUCUAGAGAAUGGGUUGAAGCUCCCGGCCCGAGGGUGCAGUCUCUAGCUGCUCACCCGCCAUUAGUCAUAACUUAAUAAAAGCCCUAAACGGCUAGCGGAAGAGCCGGCUUCGAAGGCGCAGAGAUUGCCUUAGUUCACUCCAAGAAAAGGGGUUUCUUCAUCUCAUUUUAUUUUCUAGAAAAUGCCAUCUGAAAUGAGGUCCACAUCCAGCAGAGGCAGGCUUGGGGACUUGAAGAGGUGGAUUCGAAUCCUGCUCUGGUUUUAUUAGCCGGAGGACCUGAUGUGGCUUCCUGCAGUUAGAGCUGAAGCCGUUCGUCUGUUUUCCUCCCGUGUUUAUCCUUUUGAAAGAACCCCCAUUUUCAUCUAGGAUCCACCUGCCCUCCUGGGUCUAGAGUGAGAUCCUGAUUGCUUCAAGUCAGUAAUGAUGCUCCCCACCCUUGCCUCGGGGGCCAUAUGAUACAACUCUAGUCAGAGCUUUGAGUGGAAAUAGUUCUAGGAGUUUCUAGGAAUAAUCUCCCCCCAUUUAAGAAAGAGUCCCAUGGAAGCCAAGAGGUAAGUCUGCCCGAAGAAGCUAACAUGCUGAAGUUGUCAAGAAGGAAGGAAAAGAGGGGGAGGACGUUGUUGAUACUGAAAGAACAGGAUAGCCACAGGACUUGGUGAACCCUAAACUUCUAUGCCUGGGAACCCCAAGAACCCCAGGAGAGAAACAAGUAUGGAAAAAAGAAUGGAAAAAGUUUUCUAAAGGGCCCAGACUGAAUAAAAAGGAGAAGGGAAAAUGGGAAGCUGAGCUCCAGCCUUCACCUCUGCUCCCUGCAUCUCUCACAUUCAAGCCACCUAGGAGCCUUCCCUGCCAUGGAUGGACUGCAUCUUCAACUGUGAGCCAAAUACUUCCUUCCUCAAGGUGCUUGCCAGACUAUGGGUAUGAUGAUAGCUGCUUCAAGCUCCUGCUGCCUUGAGUACUCUACAGCAGACCUGCAAUUCUGAAAUGAAAAG